rnacentral:rRNA from 1 species
AACGACGCUGGCGGCAGGCCUAACACAUGCAAGUCGAGCGCGCCCUUCGGGGUGAGCGGCGGACGGGUUAGUAACGCGUGGGAACGUGCCCUUUGGUACGGAAUAGCCUCUGGAAACGGAGAGUAAUACCGUAUGAGCCCCUUCGGGGGAAAGAUUUAUCGCCAAAGGAUCGGCCCGCCGUUAGAUUAGGUAGUUGGUGGGGUAAUGGCCUACCAAGCCUACGAUCAUAGCUGGUUUUUAGAGGAUGAUCCAGCAAACA